UACGUAGGGGGCAAGCGUUGUCCGGAAUCAUUGGGCGUAAAGCGCGCGUAGGCGGCCCGGUAAGUCCGCUCUGAAAGUCCAGGGCUUAACCCUGGAAAGCGGGUGGAUACUGCCGGGCUUGAAUCCAGAAGAGGCGAGUGGAAUUCCUGGUGUAGCGGUGGAAUGCGCAGAUAUCAGGAGGAACACCAAUAGCGAAGGCAGCUCGCUGGGACGGUAUUGACGCUAAGGCGCGAAAGCGUGGGGAGCAAACAGG
rnacentral:rRNA from 1 species